ACGGGAGGCAGCAGUAAGGGAUAUUGGGCAAUGGGGGGAACCCUGACCCAGCCAUGCCGCGUGAGGGAAUGAGGCCCUACGGGUCGUGAACCUCUUUUGCCUGGGGAUAACCCCUCCCGCGCGACGGGGGGCUGCAGGUACCAGGCGAAUAAGCAUCGGCUAACUCCGUGCCAGCAGCCGCGGUAAUACGGAGGAUGCGAGCGUUAUCCGGAUUCAUUGGGUUUAAAGGGUGCGCAGGCGGGAUGUCAAGUCAGUGGUGAAAUGGUGCGGCUCAACCGUAGCAUUGCCGUUGAAACUGGCGUCCUUGAGUGCGAAUGAGGUACGCGGAACGUGUCAUGUAGCGGUGAAAUGCAUAGAUAUGACACAGAACACCGAUUGCGAAGGCAGCGUACUGGGACGCGACUGACGCUGAGGCACGAAAGUGCGGGGAUCGAACAGGAUUAGAUACCCUGGUA
rnacentral:rRNA from 1 species